CUACGGGUGGCACCAGUAAGGAAUAUUGGUCAAUGGACGAAAGUCUGAACCAGCCAUGCCGCGUGAAGGAUGACGGCCCUAUGGGUUGUAAACUUCUUUUAUAUGGGAAGAAACCCCUCUACGUGUAGAGGGCUGACGGUACCAUACGAAUAAGCAUCGGCUAACUCCGUGCCAGCAGCCGCGGUAAUACGGAGGAUGCAAGCGUUAUCCGGAUUUAUUGGGUUUAAAGGGUGCGCAGGCGGAAAGAUAAGUCAGUGGUGAAAUCCUACGGCCUAACUGUAGAACUGCCAUUGAUACUGUCUUUCUUGAGUACAGUUGAAGUGGGCGGAAUGUGUCAUGUAGCGGUGAAAUGCAUAGAUAUGACACAGAACACCGAUAGCGAAGGCAGCUCACUAAACUGAAACUGACGCUCAUGCACGAAAGCGUGGGGAGCAAACAGGAUUAGAUACCCCAGUAGUC
rnacentral:rRNA from 1 species